rnacentral:lncRNA from 1 species
CCCGGGCGGGUAACUUGAUAUAAAUUAUAGCUUGUGUUAACAACCCAGAUAUAAAGUUAACUUUUGUGAGCAACUUGGUCACCCAUUUAUCCGAGUCCGUUUUACUAGAAUUCCAUUAGGAGAUAUUCAAUUUAAUUAAAAUGGAAAACUUGAAAGUGAAUUGGAAAUGGAAUAUUAUAUGCUUAUAACUUGAUAUGUGACAUGUGAUUUCCUUAAUGUUAGUGAUAUUACUCAUGAUAUGUAAGUAUGACUAACCUAUUUGGUUGUUAAUGUUGAUAUGUAUCUAGUUGUGCCAAUAUGUGUCAAGGAUAGCCAUUUUGAUGUCAAGAUGAUUGGUAGUUAUUAUACUUUAAAUAAUCAAGGUAAGUGUGAAAAAUAGAACGUCGAUAAUGGCAAUGUAUCGUAAAGAAAAAAAUGAAAAAUAAAACACACAUAAUUUUUAUGUGGAACCCUUUCUGGGAAAAAACCACGAGUAAAGGAGAAGAAAACCUUUCUGAAUGAUACAAGAGUAGAGACGAUUACAUCUAUUUUUAGGUUUAAAACACCUUAUUCUAAUCAACAUCAAAUAGAAGAAGUAAACUUCUAUACGAAUUCCACUUCGGCCCUCAGCCUUUGCCUUCGUAGAUCCUCUAUCCUGCCACUUGUAUUUAUUUUAACAAGAAUUUAGGUCACACAACUUCUAACAGUAAGUAUAAUAAUUCUAUUUGAACUUACUAAGCAUUCUUAAUGCUUAAUCUAGUUAUUUUCUUCCCUUGUAGAUCAUCAUCUUGCGAAACUUGUUGAGCCAGAUCAACGAAAAGCACACACUAUCAAAAUAAGGUAGAAUUAUGUUCAUUUUUAAUCCAUUAUUUUGGCAUGUAUAUAAGGAUAACUUAGUGUAAAAAUAGUCAUGCUCAAGAUUUUGAAAACUUUACAAUUUGGGCCUAUUUUACCCUAUGUUAGCAAAAGAGCUUUCGUAAGCUCGUAUGAGACUUGGGAAUGAUUUAGCUUAAUAUGAAUGUGGAUUAUAUGUAAUUGUGUUUGUGAAUAGUUGUAUGAUGUUUAUGUGAUGUUAGUUCCACUAAUAAUGGUCGUGACAUUCCAUAGCUCAAAUCUAGCCAUCAGGUUGGGUAUUGGUUGUUAAAAUAUAUGUGAAUUUUUUUUCUCAUAAGUAAUGACCAAGCUAUUAAUUAGAGGCAUUUAAUCAAUAAUUUUGUACUAAAUCAUUAUGUGUAUAAACAAUAGGGUUUGUAACAUCUAUUCAAUUUUUUAUACAAUAAUAAUUAAAAGCUUGAGAUAUGAAUUCACUAGCAUUAUCAAUACAACUUAUCCUAAUUGCAUAAUAUGAAAAUUUUGUUCUUAAUCUAACUAUUUGAGAAAGUAAUCUCACAAACGACAACUUAUGAUUUGAUAAUAAACACACAGCUUCCACAUAUACACAUUGAAUUUAAUCCAAAAAGCAUAAAACAUAAGACAAAAGUAGUGAAAUAAAUAAAAUAAGGAAAGAAGGGAUGUAUAUCUAUUACUUAUUUGUUUACAAUACUUAUACAAAUUUUCUUUAUACAUACGACAAGUUUGAAGGAAUAAAAUUAAUCUUAAUCAUAAUGAAUAUCAUAAUCUUAAUCAAAUAUAUAAAUUUUUUUAUAAUAAUAUAAAUAAAAUUUAUUAAAAAGGUAAUUUUAUUUAAACAAUUAAACUUGUCAGGCCUAGUGUUAAAAUAUUUAUUCUUUUAGAUGUUGGUUGUCAUAUUGUUAUUGAUGUAUUAUAUCAUCAUCACACCAACAAUUUUUAGGGCAUAUAAUAAUUAAGGCAAGUUAGUGUCAAUAGUAGGGUUAUCCUGAACUGAAUCACACCUAUUAUCUUUGAGGAUAUGAAUAGAAAGUUGCAUAAACAAGUAAGUGAUUAAGAGAUAUAGAAUGUUGUCUUUAAUCUUUGUGCUCAUGAUGGGUUUCUUGGACCCUUCUAUCAUCAUUUUUGAGAACUUAAUAAUGAAGAAUUCAAGGCAUACAUUUUAAAUUUGUUUUUUCAAAGUUGGCACUUACUAAAAUAACUUAAUGCUACUAAUAUUUUUCUUGUAACGACUUGAUUUUAAUCGGUGUCAAAAAAUUCAGUUUCAAGGCCGAGUUUACUAAGUUAAGGAAGCCCAAAAAGUUUUAAUUUAGCAAUUACAAGUCGAAUACGAAAUUAGGAAGUAGAAUCAUGAAGUAAAUAUAUAAAUAUAUUAUUAAGUAUAGUGCAGUGACUAAGUUGCUAGUGACUUGAAUUUAAGGAAUUAAAAAUGGAACUUUACAAGCCUUAAGUGUGCAAUUGAACCACGAUUCAAAGGUAAUUUUCUCAUAAUUAUUUAAGUUAGUGGCUUAACUUAAUCUUAUCUGUAUUGGAACAUUUUCAAAUAUUUAUAGUAUUCCAAUAACUAUAAAUGAAUGAGUGUAAUUAAUAAAAAGAUUAUAUUAUUUGAUUUUUUUUUAAAAAUAUAACUAUUUAAAUAAUAAUAUUUGAAUAUUUAUAAUAUUAAAUAAAUAAUUAUGUGUUUAUUUUAAAGACAUUAUUAUUCAGAAAGACACCUAUUGAUGAAAGAUGUCUCUAUGAAGAGACAUGAAAAUUCCUAUAAAUAGGAAUAGGAUUUCAUUUGGAAAACACAUUAAAAAAAUUCUAAUAUUCUUUAUUUCCUUCCUUCAUUUUCUAAUAUUAUUAGAUUAUUCUAUAAAGUUUACUGCAGAAAUCCUUUGUAGAAAUUGAGUUUCUGUUAUACAUGCUCAGUGUGUAGUGGACUAUUCUUGUCAGUGCAAAACGCAAAUAGUCAUUAACUUCAUUGUAUCCUCGAGGUUAACUUUCUUGGAACUCAUUUGCACACCGAAGAUAGGUGGGGGAGAAUAUAACCUUAAAGAUAGUGGCUUGAUACACGCCUUGGAGCCUUGUCCUAUUUUUUUUGUUCGAGUUUCGUUCGUGUGUUCUAGAUUUUCCUCACCGGAGAUUUGAACUAACAAUUUUAAGGUUAUAAGAUUCAUGAUGACUACCACAACACAUGAAAGUGGAACACUAAGGGAGUUGGCUUCUAACUUUGUCAAACUUGAUUGGUUUGAUGGUGACAAUUUUGGACAAUGGCAGAAAAAGAUGCACUUCUUAUUAUCAACUUUAAAUAUUGCUUAUGUUUUGCAUACUCGAAGACCUGAAGACAAUGAUAACGAAUCUGUUGCUGCAACCCGAGAAAGACAAAAAUGGGACAAUGCUGAUUACAUGUGCAUGCGCUACAUAUUAAUGGUUUAUCUGAUGGUUUGUUCGACACCUACCAAAACGAGGUCACCGCUAAAGAAUUAUGGGACAAAUUGGAGACAAGAUACAUGACCGAAGAUGUUACAAGUAAGAAAUUUCUUGUCAGUCGUUUCAAUAAUUAUCAAAUGGUUGAUGGUCGUUCUGUUAUGGAACAAUUUCGUGAUAUUGAAAAGAUGUUGAAUCAAUUCAAGCAAUAUGAUAUGAAAAUGGAUGAAAUGAUUGUUGUAUCCUUCAUAAUAGACAAACUUCCUCCAUCUUGAAAGACUUUAAAAGAAGUCUAAAACAUAAGAAAGAGGAAAUAUCUCUUGAGGCUUUGGAAAAUCAUCUUCUUAUUUAAGAAGAAUAUCGAAAACAAGAUCAAAACCUAAAUUCUGAAAAUGCCAAAGUACAUGUUACGGAGAAAAUACAGACUAUUAAACCAUUCAAGAGAAAGUUCAAACAGGUUGAUAGAGCACCUAAGUUCAAAAAGAAUCAAAAGGGCUCAUACUAUCAUUGUGGAAAGCCGGGACAUUGCAAGAAUGAAUGUCAAUUUUUAAAGAAGAAAUCAUCUUCUAAGGCUAAUAAUAACGAAAAGUUCGUUGCAAUGAUAUCUGAAAUUAAUAUGGCACAAGAUGAUAAUACAUGGUGGAUUGAUACCGAAGCAACCAAACAUGUGUGCAAAGACAAAAGCAUGUUCACAAAGUUCACACAAUGUGAAAAUGAUAAUGUCUUGUACAUGGGAAAUUUUGCCACGGCAACAAUCAAAGGCAAAGGGUCUGUUGAACUACAAUUCACUUCUAGAAAAGUUUUAACCUUAAAUGAUGUAUAUUAUGUACCAGAAGUUAGGAAGAAUUUAGUGUCUGGAAGUCUGUUGAAUAAGUUUGGUUUCAGACUUGUUUUUUAGGCAGAUAAGUUUAUUUUGUCUUAGGGAGGAAUUUUUGUGGGGAAUGGGUAUAUGUAUGAGAGUAUAUUCAAACUCAAUAUUAUUAAUAAGAAUAAAAAUACUAUUUCUACUUAUAUGGUUGAAUCUUUUUGUUUGUGGCAUUAUAGAUUAACUCUUUUGAAUUAUAGAAAAUUGAAUGACAUGUAUAAGUUAGAUUCAAUUUUUGUUUUUAAUAAUAAUAUUGAAAAAUGCAAUACAUGUAUGUUGACUAAAAUUACAAGAAACCCUUUCUCUAAGGUUAAAAGGAAAACAAAAUUGCUUGAUUUGAUAUAUAGUGAUUUAUGUGACAUGCAUAAUACUCCUACAUUAGGUGGAAAGAAAUAUUUUGUUACUUUUGUUGAUGAUUGUUCUAGAUAUUGUUAUGUAUAUUUAUUGCAUUCAAAAGAUAAAGCGCUUGAUAAAUUUAAAUUUUAUAAAUCUGAAGUUAAACUUCAGUGUGAAUCAUUUAUCAAGUGCUUAACAUCAGAUAGUGCUAGAGAAUACUACAAUCCAAGUUAUUUUGAAUCCACUGGAAUUGUCCAUCAAGUUUUAGCCCCUUACACACCACAGCAAUAUAGUGUAGCUGAAAGGAAAAACAGAGUCUUGACUGAAAUGAUAAAUUCAAUGUUAUCAUAUUCAAGUCUUGGACAAGGUUUUUGGGGAGAAGCUAUUCUAAUAGCUUGUCAUAUAUUGAAUAGAGUUCCUAAUAAGGAAACUAAAAUAAAUCUCUAUGAACAAUGGAAGAAAAGGAAACCAAACCUUAAUUAUUUGAAGGUUUCGGGUUGAGGAGCUAUUGUCAAAGUUUUAACACCUAAACGUAAAAAUUUAGGUGAAAAAUGAAUUGAAUGCAUAUUUAUAGGUUAUGCACAUAAUAGCAAGGCAUAUAGGUUCAUGGUAAUUGAACCAAAUGAUUCAAUUUCAAGUAAAUCUGUUACUAAAUCAAGAGAUGCUAUUUUUGAUGAAAAUAGAUUUAAUUCUAUAUCAAGACAAGUACAGCCACAACAAUUGAUUCAUUCUUCAAAUGAGAAUGAUAUUCCAUUGGAACAAAUUGGUAAUGAUGAUGAAUCUUGUCAAGAAUUAAGAAGAAGUAAGAGGAUUAAAAAGGUCAAAUAUUUUGGACCAAAUUUCAUUAUGUUUCUUGAAGAAGGAAAAGGUGAAAGUAUAUGCAAUAAGAUACCUUAUUGUUAUAAUACUGAAUCUGAUCCUAUUACAUUUGAACAGACAAUAAGAUACCUUAUUGCUUUAUGAUGUGCCUUUAUGGCCUAAGCCAAUUUCACCUAUUUCUAUCUGUUGUGAUAGUGAGGUUACUCUAGCAAAGGCAUAUAGCCAAAAUAUAAUGGAAAGUCUAGACACAUUGGAUUAAGACAUAGUUAUGUCUGACAAUUAAUCUCUAAUGGAGUGAUCACUUUAAUUAUGUGAGGUCAAGUAAAAAUUUGGAGGAUCCUUUGACAAAAAGUCUUGCUAGAGAUGCAGUAAAAAGGACCUCAAAAGGGAUGAGACUCAAGCCCAUUAAUUAGAGUCACCCAUGAUGGAAACUCGACUCAGCGCUUGGUAUAAUAUCAAGUCUUGAGUUCAAUGAUAUAACAAUUGAUUGUUCUCCAGAAAAUGGAUGAAAGAAUAUUAGGAUUUCUACAAAUGUUGGAGCAUUUUAUCGGAUAGCUCUCCAGAACAUUAGGUGUUCGUAAGAAUGUAUCCCUAGAUCUAGAGCACUAGGUGUCCUUGAUCAUAUAUUGAUAUAAUAAUCCAUGUAUUCACCUAUGAAUUCAGAAUUAGUUAAUAAAAGAUCCAGGUAUGUGCAUUUCAAUUGAUUGUUCGAUCUACAGUAAAUUAAUAGUUGUACUCUAAAAGUGAAUAAUUAUAAAGAAAUGUAUUUGAGAUUAAUAUUGAAUAUAAUGACUAAAUUGAAUGAUAUGAUAAUGGAACAUGGUAAGAAAUAGAAAUUGUUAUAGGGAAAUGAGAAUGAAGUUGAAAUAUGAGAAAUGUUAUGAAGGGUAUUAAGUUAUUUGAUAAAUGAAAUUGAGAUGCAAACCCUGAGGGUGCAUCGAUAUGCUUAUAUACAAAAUGGAAAUCAAGUUAUGAUAUCUGCAUAAAAGCUUAAGGAUUGAUAUUAUGAGAUAUUGGUUUUAUUAUAAACUUUAUGGUAUGAUAUUCUAUAAUGGACUAGUAACAUGUUUAAUUAUUUGUUUAUUUGUUAUGCCUUGCUUUGUUAUUCAAAUUGUAUUGGCACCACUAAGCAUCCAAUGCUCAACGUACAAACAUGUUUGUUCUGUGCGUAGGGACUAGGCAUAUAUCGAUCUUUUUUAUAUAGUUCAAAGGUAUUCAAAGUCAUACAACUCAGCUCAGCAAGGUCCUUAUAAUAUUCUUUUGAAAUACCUUUAGUAAUGGCAUGUACCUAGGCAAAUAAAAAGUAGUUAAAGUCUAUGUUGUUAAUGUUAGCCAUGUUGUUGUGUUGGAUGAUUGUACAUAUUUUCAUAAGUUAAUUUCAAAGCACAUAUAGCAUGCUAUGUUCAUUGUCUUAGUAGAUUUAUGAACUUCUUAUAAGAAGAAUAUGCUAUUGAUAAGUUAGUAGCUUGCCUGCCAAGUAAGCAAGUUUGUUAGUUAAGCAAGAUAAACCCUUUAGCAUGUAUGUAUCCAUAAUGUUUGGAGGUAUUAUAAUGUGUGUAAAUGAUGUUUUAAACUUCAUUUUAGAGUUUAUAAGUCAUGGUAUUGAUUCGGUAAUGUCUAGGGUCAAAAUAAGUAGAUACAAGGUUAAUUUUUUAAGUGCAGGAGUUAGGGGUUCAGUACCUGUACUCUAGGUAUCGGUACCUAGCAAAAAAAAUUACAAUUGUUUUACAGUAACUAGGCUAGUUACCUAUGCCUAAGACCAUAAGUAUCGAUACUUAAGCCCGCAUCAAGGUUCCUACUCUAUUUUGUUGCAUUAAAACCCUUAGAAUCCCAUACUUGGCCUUGGACACCUCUGAAUACUUAGAAAUCAUUUUAAAAUGUUGCUAAAUUAUUUAAAAAGUCUUAAUUAUGAAUUUUAAUGAGUGGAUAAUGUUUUCUUAAUUGACCUCUUGAUGAUUUCUUAUCAAAUACAAAGUGCAAAGUUAGUUUGAGUUCUUUCAGUAACGAAUAAUGUGGUGUCUUGCAUUCAGACUUGGCGACUGGGACAAGUGUGGGUGUCUUAUUUCUCAACUUUGAAUAAAAUAAUCCAGAAGAAAUAUCUCAUUACAGACCAAUUAGUGUCAAUAAUUUUAGCUACAAGGUAAUAGAAAAGAUUAUGGCUAAUUAGUUAUGCAUAAUUCUUGUCAAUGUUGUUUCCCCUCUUCAAUUGACAUUUGUCAUAGGACAUCUAUAACACCCCAAAACCGGCCUAGAUGUUACGGUCUGGUUAUGAAGGUCACAUUAAUACAUAAAACUUUGACCAUUUAUUUUCAUGAAAACUUAAGUUUAAAUUGAGAGUAAAUAAAUUAAAUUAAAUUGACAAAAAACAUAUAUACCAGAAAACGUAACUAUCUUCCUAGUAGUGUUGUUGUUACCAAAAAUUCAGGUAAGUGCGCUUUGAUGAAAACAUUGUUUUAUUAAUUAUUUAAAAGCAAACCCAAUUGCUUCCACUACUCAAUUCGUAAAGAAACAUUUUUAAAUUCAAAACUUUGCAGCAGAAAAAUGCUUUAGGGUUCUACAUAGAGUUUCAUCUAUUAUGCCGUCUUGUUAAAAAUACCAAUUAAAAGUAUACAUUCGUAAAAUAAAAACCAAAACCACAAUAAUUAUCCCACAAACAAGUUAAAAAGUUUGAAAGCCCGUAAAGUCCUAAAUAAGCCCAAACAUACUUAAAGUUAAAAUAUCUUAACGGAGCUCUGGAAUCGCUGUCAAAUCCUAAGUUUGACAAUUAUUUGGAAAGUAUCAAAACAAAUGAAGUGAACUAGAAGCCCAGUGUGUGUCUUGGCUCAUAUACAAAAUUUAUUAUUAUCAUGCUCAAAUGCAAACCUAAGAACAGACUGAACAGAAAAUCCAUAUAUUCAGAAGCAUAUAUCAGAAUAGAACAAACCCUACUCUCAUUCGCUACACACUAACUCUGUCCAACCAAUCACAACAAAUAGGACUACAAGAGUCCAUCCAUCUAAUCACACCAGUACGUAGUGGUAUGUCACUCAAAAAGUUGCAGCUAAGUUUCCAUAUUGAUAUUGUGGUAUAACCGCCAAAAUUGUAGUUAUACUGCCAGAAUAGACCUCCUCCAUCACAUAUCAUACCCCGCCCUGAUGCAUAUACAUAAACAUACUAACACACACCCAUAACAAAUAAGAAAUAUGGCAUGCAUACGUUAUUGUCAUAUUCACAGAUCAUAUCAUAUAGCCUACACAGAGUUUAUUAAACCAAAUCAUGCUUUCUAAUAUACAAACACUUAAAUUUACCAAUUUUAUGGUUUCACAUGCUCACAAAUUAAUUUCGAAUUUGAUUUUAGAGUAUCAAAUCCGAGCCAAAUUGGGCCGAACAAAUUGACCAAAUUGGGAUCACAUGUCCGUGUAGCCCACACGGCCCAACAGGCCAAACUGUGUGGCCCACAUGACUUUCAUUUUUUCUCGUGUAAUCACACACGCCCGUGUGCUCCACACGACCUAGCACACAUUUGGCCACAUGCUUGUGUGGUGCACUACAAUUUCGAAAACAACUUGCAUUUUUCAAAUUUUCCCGAGUUCUAAUCAAUGUUUCAAGUUAGAAUCACACACCAGAUAAUAUUCCUGAUUAGUUACACAACUGAGAACUCUCGAAUCCUGUAUACGACAUUAAACCAUGCCCAUUCACAACCAAAAAUUAAACCAACAUUUAACUUAAUAAUUUCCUUUACUAAAAAUCAGUUUCCAAAACUGAUAUUUGGGCACUUACUUCACAAAAAUAGCAUCCAAAACAACAACUAAUCCGCCAGAGGAUCCCGAAUAUCGCACCCUUUGCCUAAUUAAAGACCACAAAAACAUUUAACAUAAUGAAGAAAGAGAAUUAAACACCAUUUCAAUUCUUACCUUGCUCAAAGAACGAGUUAAAUCUCAAUAUCAGAAAAUAAUGACAUUACUUACACUUUACUUGGAUUACGAUCUAACAAACAAACUCCAUGCAAUGAUCUCAAAUAAAGAACAGGAUGGCAGCAAAGCAAAAUGGAAACUCAGAAAGAAGGGAAUAAGAAAAGGAAAGAAAAUAAAAAGAAAGAGAAGAAAAGUGAAAAGGGAGUGAGAGUGGGUAAAUUAGGGUGAGUAAAAUUAGGGAUAUUUUGCUAAUUCAAAAUAAAAUAAUUUGGUAAUAUCGUAACCCACCAGAUUGUUUAGAAUUUGAAUCUAACUCAACUUCGAACACAUGGCAAAGAAACAAAAAAAAUUCCACUUUUGAGCACAACAAGGCUCUAACUCAAGACCCCCGGACAGACUAAAGCUUUACCACUAAACCAAUAGGCUCAUUCUUGUCAGCAACUCACAAAAUCAAAAGAUAAGCCCUAAGAAUCAAGUUUGACAUAAUUCCAAAAUUAAUGGGAAAAUUCCAAAACAAGGGAAUCGAACUCAAGACUCAAGUAAAACAUCCAAAGCACUUAACCAUCAUACUAAGGGUGGGUUUGGAUGGGCGAUUGGGUAUGGUGCGGUGCAGUGCGUUUAGCUUACUUUUUGUCUCACACUACAGUAUCACUAACUUUAUCGACUGAGUAAGAUUCGCAUAAGACUUUUGUCUAUCAAAAGUGGCUUUAAGUCGAUCUCGAAUUAAUCUAACUUUAUCCUCAAUCUCAGAAACUAACUCCGAUCCCAUAAUCUUCCUCUCACCCAACUCGGUCUAACAAAGCGGAGUGCGACACUUAUGACCAUAUAAAGCCUCAUAAAGUGCCAUCUGAAUACUAGACUUAAAACUAUUAUUAUAAGUGAAUUCAGCUGAUGGAAAAAACUCCUCCCAACUACUCCAGAAGUCAAUAAUACAACUCCAAAGUAUAUCCUCUAAAAUCUAAAUUACCCUCUCGGAUUGACCAUCAGUCUUCAGGUGAAAUGUUAUAUUGAAGUCCAGCUGAGUACCGAGAGUUUCGUGCAGUUUCUUCCAAAAUCGAGAAGUAAAUCAAGGAUCUCGAUUGGAAAUAACCGUUAUUGGAAUCCCAUAAAGCCUAACUAUCUUAGAAAUGUAUAACUUCACUAGCUUCUGCAAAGAAUAAUCGGUCCUAACCGAAAUAAAAUAAGUAGACUUAGUCAACCGAUCCACUAUAACCCAUACCGGAUCCUUUUUAGUAGGUGUUAAGGGCAACCCACUAACAAAGUCCAUAGUUACAUGUUCCCAUUUUCACAACAGAGUCUUAAUGGGCUGAAGCAAACAUAAGGGCUACUAUGCGUUUCCCGCAGAAUGGAUUGCUUCAAAUCCGCAUCACUCGGCACACAAAUCUGACCUUGGAAACCUAGAAUAUCAUCACUAUUAAACCUAAAAUUCAAAGUUUUACCCUCAUCAAUCUGCUAAACUUGACCGAUCAGAGACUCAUCCAGAAGUUUUUUUAUCCCUAAUCUCAUUCAUCCAAGUUGGCUUAACUUACAACUCGGCAAAAAUUCCAUCAUCAUCAAACAAACUUAGGCGAACAAACAUCGCCUUCAACUCAGACAUAGAUCUCCGACUAAGAGCAUUGGCCACCACAUUAACCUUACCAGGAUAAUACUCUAUCGUGCAACUAUAAUCCUUAAGCAACUUGAUCCAUCGACAUUGCUGAAGAUUCAACUCCGUCUGAGUGAGGAGAUACUUGAGGCUCUUUUGAUCAGUGUAAAUGAUACACCUUUCACCAUAUAGAUAGUGCCUCCAAAUCUUAAGAGCAAAAACAACCACAGGUAGCUUGAAAUCAUGUGCUAGAUAACUACCUUUAUUAUGCUUAAGAUCUCUGGGUGCAUAAACUACUACCUUACCCUCUUGCAUUAGAAUACAACCCAAACCGGUGUCAAAAGCAUCACUAUACACAACAAAUUCUUUCCCAACUUUGGGCUGGACUAGAAUGGGUGUCUGAGUCAAACCAGAUUUGAGCAUCUCAAAGCUCGAUUGCUUCACAUUAGUCCACACACACGGUGCAUUCUUACACAAUAACUUAGUUAAGGGAGCUUCUAUAAGUGAGAAUCACUUGCCAAAGCUUCGAUAAUAUCCCGUCAAACCAAGUAAACUCUGAAGCUCAGUCACAUUUCUAGGUUACUUCUAAUCCAAAAUAGCCUCUAUCUUUCUAGGGUCCACUCGAAUACCCAUGGCAGAAACCACAUACCGUAGAAACUUAACUUCACUCAACAAAAAUUCGCACUUACUUAACUUAGCAUAGAGCUCAUUCUCUCAAAAAAUCUAAAGAACCACUAUAAGAUGCUCAUUAUGCUCAACCUUGGUCUUAGAGUAUACCAGAAUAUCAUCGAUAAGCACUACGAAAAACAAAUCCAGAUAUGGUUGAAAAACUCACUUCAUGAGAUCCAUGAAUGUAGUCGAAGCAUUCAUCAAACUGAAUGGCAUGGCAUGGAACUCGUAAUGCUCACAACGAGUUUUAAAGGCAGACUUAUACACAUCAACUUCAUUUACUUUCAAUUGAUGAUAUCCAAAAUGAAUAUCAAUCUUUAUGAACACUGACGCCUACUGAAAUUGGUCAACCAGGUCAUCAAUCCUCGGAAGUGAGUACUUAUUCUUUACUGUCAAUUUGUUCAACUAGUAGUAAUCCACACGCAUCUUCAUAGAACUAUUUUUCUUUUUGACAAAAAGAACCGAUGCUCCCUAUGAUGACACGUUAGGUCACAUAAACCCCCUAUCUAGAAGUUCUUGAAGUUAUAAUUUUAACUUUUUCAGCUCCUUUUUGUUCCAUACGUUAAGAAGUGAUGGAUACCGUAGCAGUUUCAGGCAACACCUUAAUUCUGAAUUCAACCUCCUUAUCGAGUGGUAACCUCGGUAAUUCCUUAGGAAAGACAUCCGAAAAAUAUCUAACAUUUCAAAUUCCUUCUAUAGCUGAUUCCAUAGCACUCGUGUCAUACAUAUAAGCCAAAUAUGCAUCACACCAUUUUCAGACCAACUUUUUCACUACCGUAGCGGAGAUCACAUUAGAGAGGUAAUCUCAGCGCUUGCCGACCAUCACAACCUCCUUUUUAUCACCAACCUUUAGAGCCACUCUUUUAUAAUCACAAUCCAAACCAAUCAAUCCAUACCCAAUUUCAAAUCGAACACUCUAAACAACAAUUCCAUCAAAUUAGCCAGAAACAUAAACCCCUAAAUCUUAAGUGGACACCUCCUAAAUACCUUACUAACUUAAACUGACUGCCUCAACUAACUAAUCACAGAAAUCUCACAACUAGUAUCCUCAGCCAAAAUCCCUAGAUUACCAGAUACACUACUAGUAAUAUAAGAAUGUGUGGAGCCACAAUAAAUCAAAGCAAAAUAAGGAUGUGAAUGCAUAGUAAACGUACUGGCUAUCACAUCGGUCGCAUCUCUAUCCUUACGGCGCCUAAUCGUGUAAACCAAAGUAGGUUGUCUUGCCUCAGUCUUAACCCCACCUUUGCCCAGUGCCCUCAAAUCAUGACCACCUCUAUUAUCACCCCUAAGCUAACCACGACCUCUAGCGGGCUGCUAAGCUGCCCCCAAAGGCUGAACUUGAUCCUGAACUAAAGCUCACACUGGCUCAACCAAAUGAGGCAAAUCGAUGCUCAGUAGACCUACAUCUAAAGCAAGCUCCAAUCCUCAUCCAACGCUCGCUUGAAUGGCGUCUAUUAUAGUACUCAUAAAUUGAAACCUGCUCAACCCUAACAAUCGUCUCAAGCUAUUAAGGUCUAUCAACCCUGGCCCAUUUCAUAAGCCACUUAAUAGAAGUAGAAGGACCUUACUCACUCUUAUUCUUAUUCUGGCUCCUUUCCUUAUCCCUUUUCUCACGCUCCAAACGCUUAAUCUCCUCAAUGAUUUUCAAAGACUCACUUUUGCUGCAGAGUUACUAAUACCUUGAUUCAUACAUCAACCCCUCCUUAAACUGGACACUCUUGUCAUAGUCUGUCUCAACCAAACUCCGAGCAUACCCACUCAACCUCAGAAAUUGGGCUUCAUACUCGACCACAAAUCUCUCACCCUGAGUUAGCCCAAUAAACUCGCAUCUACGGGCCUCAAUGUAACUUUCCCCUACAUACUUAUUCUGGAAGACGUUCCGGAAGUAUGCUCAAGUCACACACUCAAGCUAGGUGCCCUACUCAACGAUCAUCCACCACUGAUAUGCUUCGUUGUGAAGGAAAGAUACCGUGCUCUUCAGUUUCUGCUCGGGGGUGCAAUCCAGAUCGUUCAUUAUUCUUUCUGUGGCCUCCAACAAGUACUCAGCCAUAGGCAGGUCGAUCCGAACGACACCCUUAAAUAACUCUACCCUAUUCAACCGAAGUCAUUUAGUUACUGACCUCGGCUCCCAGAUCCAAAGUGGGUCUCAGCGACCCUCUUUAAUACCCUCAACGUCCUCGAUUCCUUAUGCACACAUAUCUUAUCUAUAAUUUCAGAGGUUUAUGAAUUAGCUCAAGUUGUAAAAAUCCUAACUUUAGAGUUUUAUUGAAGUUAUUUAUUAGAGUUUACAGAAUGUUUAAUUACUACAGUCUCUAAAGGUAAAUAAUUUUACUAAAGUAACUAAUGUAAAAGUAUCUAAAAUGCAUCUAAAGUUUGAAGUUUCUUACUUGAAUCGGCUUCGAAGUAUCAGUUCCACUUUACAAAAAUUCACAAUAUUGAUUUCAAUCAAAAUUUUGAAUUUUUUUAAAACAUUUUGAACCCAAAAUUCACAGCCCGAGUUUUGCAACUUGGCUUUGAUACCACCAAUUAUAGCACCUCAAACCUGGCCUAGAUGUUACGAUCAGUUUAUGAAGGUUACACGAUACAUAAAACUUUGAUAAUUUAUUUUCAUGCAAACUUAAGUUUAAAUCGAAAGAAAAUAAAUUAAAUUUAUUUAACGGAAAACAUAUAUACCAUAAAAUGUAACCAUCUUUCUAGUAGUGUUGUUGUUACCAAAAAUUCGUGUGAAUGCACUUUGAUGAAAACAUUAUUUUAUUAAUUAUUUAAAAGCAAACUCAACUAUUUCCACUAUUCGAUUUGUAAAGCAACAUGUUUAAAUUCAAAACUUUGCAGUGGAAAAAUGCUUUACAGUUCUUAUUUUUGAAAAACAUAGAGUUUCAACGAUUAUGACGUCUUGUUAAAAAUAUCAAUUAAAAUUAUACGUUCGCACAAUAAAAACCAAAACCAAAAUAAUUGUCCCGCAAACAAAUUAAAAAGUUCAAAAGCCUGUAUAGUCUGAAAUAAUCCCAAACAUACUUAAAGUUAAAAUAUCUUAAUAGAGCUCCGGAAUCGCCACCAAAUCCUAAGUCUGAGAAUCACCUGGAAAACAUCAAAACAAACGAAGUGAGUUAGAAGCCCAGUGUGUGUCUUGGCCCACAUACAAAAUUUAUUAUUAUCAUGCUCAUAUGCAAACCUCAGAACAGACAGAAUAGAAAAUCCACAUAUUCAGAAGCAUAUAUCAGAACAGAACAAAUCCAAUCUCUAUCCGUUACACAUCAACUCUGCCCAACCAAUCACAUCAAAUAGGACUACAAGAGUCCAUCCAUGAAAUCACACCAGUACAUGGUGGUAUGUCACUCAAAAAGUUACAACUGUGCUGCCAGGCUGAUAUUAUGGUAUAAUCGCCAAAAUUGCAGUUAUACUACCAGAAUACACUUCCUCUAUCACAUAUCAUACCCCACCCCAAUACACAUACAUAAACAUACUAAUACAUGUCCAUAAAAAAUAAGAAAUAUGACAUGCAUACGUUAUUGUCAUAUUCACAAAUCAUAAUAUAUAGCAUACAUGGAGUUUAUUAAACUAGAUCAUGCUUUCUAAUAUACAAACACUUAAAUUUACCAAUUUUAUGGUUUCACAUGCUCACAAGUUAAUUUUGAAUCUGAUUUUAGAGUCUUAUAUCUAACCCGAAUUGGGCCUAAUAAACUGAACAAAUUGGGCUCACAUGUCCGUGUGGCCCAUACGACCUAGCAGGCCAGACUGUGUAGCCCACUCGUCCUUCCUAUUUUGCCCAUGUAAUCGCAAACACCCAUGGGCUCCACACGGCAGUGUGACACACUGUAGUUUCGAAAAUAGCCUGCAUAUUUCAAAUUUUUCUGAGUUCUAAUCGAUGUUUCGGGUUAGAAUCACACACUCGAUGUUAUUUCUAAUUAGCUACACAAGCGAAAACUUUCGAAUCCUACAUACGAUAUUAAAUGACGCCUACUAACAACCAAAAAUUAAAACGACAUCUAACUUAAAAAUUUCCUUUACUAAAACUCAGUCCCCAAAAUUGAUAUUUGAGCACUUACUUCACAAAAAAAGCAUAUAAAACAGUAACUAAUCCACUGGAAGAUCCCGAAUCUCGCACCCUUCACCUAAUCAAAUACCACAAAAAUAUUUAACACAACGAAGAACUAGAAUUAAACACCAUUACAAAUUCUACCAUGCUCAAAGAAUAGGUUAAAACUUGAUAUCAUAAAAUAAUAUGAUGUUACUUACACUUUAAUUCGAUUACGAUCUAACAAACGAACUCCACGCAACGAUCUCAAAUAAAGAACAAGAUGGCAGCAAAGAAAAAAAGCAAAGAGAAAAGAAAGGAAGAAGAAAAAAAAUUAAAAAGAAGAAAAAAAAUGUCAAAAGGGAGUAGGGUAAUGGACAAAAAAGUUGGGUGAGGAAAAUUAGGGAUAUUUUGUUAAUUCAAAAUAAAAUAAAAUAAUUUGGUAAUAUCCUAACCCACCAAAUUAGUCAGAAUUCGAAUAUAGCUCAUCUUUGAACACAUGGAAAAGAAACCAAAAGAAUUCCCACUUUUGUACACAACAAGGCUUAAACUCAAGACCCCCAAGUAAGCUAAAGCCUUACCAUUGAACCAGUAGGCUUAUUCUUUUUAAUAACUCAAAAAAUAAAAAAAAUAAACCCUAAGAUUCAAUUAUGACAUAAUUCCAAAAUUAAUGGGAAAGUUUCAAAACAAGAGAAUCAAACUCAAGACUCAAGGAAAACAUCUAAAGCAGUUAACCACCAUACUAAAUCAAUUUAUUUGACAUAAUUUAACAAUCAAACCUAAGAAAAAUUGGGGCCUUACAUUUUCAAAUCAAAUAUAAUAUUUGUAUAGCAUUUGAGGCAUUUCAUGCAUGAAGAAAUGUUAAUGGGGAAUAAAAGAGAUAAUGGCUCUCAAAUUAGACCUAAGAAAAGCUUAUGUCUAUUUUGAAUUGGAAUUCCUUCAAGAUCUUUUAAGAUAAUUUGGGUUUUACAAUGGUGGUUGAUUCAAAUUAUGGAAUGUAUUUUUAUAGUGAAAUUUACGGUGGUUAUAAAUGAAGAGAGAAAGCCAACUUUCUCCAUCAAGAAGCCUCGAUGGUUAUAAAGCGAAUGUGUUUCUUAGUGAAAUUUGCAAUGGUUAUAUUUUAACCUUGAGUUGCAUCAAAUGGAUGUCAAGAUUGUGUUUUUCAAUGAUGAAAUUGAUGAGACGAUUUAUAUGGUGCAACCAGAAAACUGUGUCAUGUGAUACAAAAUUAAUAGUUUACAAAUUAAGGAAAUCCAUUUAUGGGCUUAAACAAACCUCUUUUUAAUGUUAUUAUAAAUUUCACCAAGUAAUUACCUCAUUCAGUUUUAAUAUGGCUUUGGUUAUUGAUUAUAUACCACAAGUUCAAUAGGAGUGAGAUUUUGUCUUUGGUUUUAUAUGCCGAUGACAUAUUGGAUUUCAAUAAUAAGUUUAGUCUUGAUUAAUUCCCCAAGAAUGAUUUUGAGACUAAUGAAAUGCAAAAUUUCUCUAUACUUCAGUAGUGGAGAGUCUAAUAUAUGCUCAUGUAUAUUGCUUUCAUAUAUUAUGUACAUUGUUGGGAUGUUGUGUAGAUAUUUGAGUAAAUCGAGUAUAGAUAGUUGAAAAGUAGUCAAAUUUUUCAUAUGUUAUCUUUAGGAAACAAAACAUUACAUGUUCACAUGUCAGAGGCCUGAGAAGUUAGAGAUUGUCAAGUAUACAUAAUUUGAUUUUGCAGGAAUAUUGAUGCAAUUUUUUUGUCAUUAGGCUGCAAAUUGUGGUAGCCAUUUAUUCAAAUAAUGAUAGGAGCACAUCAAAUUUAAUGUGCAUAAACUUUAAAUCCAUAGUUGUUAAAGAAAAAAAAAAUUAAAGUGGUCAAGUGUUUAUGAAGCAUAUUGAGUCAAACUCUGUAAUGGUAGAUUUUCUCACUAAGAUACUAUCACCCAAGGUUUUUUAUGAGGACACUGCUCAUUUUAGGGUAAUGUCAUUUUAAGAUAUUUAGUGUUAGUGGGAGUUUGUAAUUUUAAAUGGUUUUCUAUCAUAGAAACAUUUUUUUUAUUUCAAUUUACGGAUACUUUAAGGCUUUUUUUUUUGCAAAAAUAAAGUUUAUUUGGUUUGUUCACACUUUGAUUUUGGUAAUGUUUGAUCACACUAAGGCUUAAGGAGGAAUGGUUGAAAAUAAACAUGUUUAGAUCGCAUUGCAUGUAAUUUUUAUGUUACACAUCCAUACUUGAUAUAUGUCAUUUGGUUGUGUUAAUAUACGUGAUCAAUGAUGGAUUUGGUUAUGAUAUAUGUAAUGAAAGUUGUCUUAGUUCUAUAUUAAUAUAAUUAAUGGAUGAGAUUGCUCGAAAUACCUUUUGGAUAUGAUAGUAAAGUUUUCAGCUCACGAGGUUAUAUAAUGACAUGUGGUCCAAGUAGAAGAUUAUUGAAUUAUAUAGACGUCACAUAUAUAAUUAAAAAAAUUACAUGUUAUUAUUUACUAUUAUAGAAUGUUAGCCCAAAUCGAAAGUGAUCUAAAGGGUUAUUGGGCAUUAUUUAUUAAACAAAGCAUAAGUCGAAUAUGUGUAGAUACUUUAGUAACUAAUUUCUAGUAGAUAAUGGUCUAAUUAGAAAUUAAGGUUAACGUGGAAAAGCUAUAUAUUAGAAUUAUAGUCCCCAAAUUACACAUACAUAACUUUUCUAACAUCUCAUAUUUAGAAAGGAAAGAGAAUCACCUCUUCUAAAAUACUUGUAUUGUUAAGUGUGACUCCUAUUUUCAGUCAAAUUUGACAAAAAAAUCUUUUAGUUAAACUCUGUUUAUUUGUUUCAGUCAAACACUGAUUAGUUUAGAUUAUUUUAUUAUUAUUUGACAUAUGAAUUCAGCCUAUAAAUAGGCUCUUUUACAACCUUAGUAAAGACACCCAUUAGAUUAGAACUCAUAACACAUUCAGAGAAUUUUGUGUUUACGUUUUGAGGGUUCUUUGUUUUUCGGGUUUUCGGGGUUUAGUUUUAUCUCCAUCUUUUGUACUCUUCAUUCUUUUGCCAUUAUAGUAAAAUUAUCUUUGCCCAUGGUUUUUUAUCCUCUUUGGAGGGGUUUUUCCACGUUAAAUUUGUGUGUUCAUGUUCUCAAUUUCUUCCGCUAUUUUUACUUGUUUGUUGCUUAAUCGGGACGAUUCCUAACAAGUGGUAUCAAAGCUAGUUUAAUUUUCAUAGAUCAGCCCAUUCAGAUAUGGCAAAAACAAGGUUUGAAAUUGAGAAGUUCGAUGGUGAGACAAAUUUUAAUCUGUGGCAAGUUCGAAUGAUGGCAAUUCUAGUUCAAUCCGGUUUGAAAAAUGUUGUUACCGGGAAAAAGCCUGAGAAUCUAAAUAAAACAGAAUGGGAAGAACUUGAUGAAAAGGCCUUGUCUGCAAUCCAGUUGUGCCUCGUGAAUACGGUAUUGCAGGAGGUAUUUUAGAAGACCUCAUCCGCCUUGUGGAAAAGGUUAGAAACUCUUUAUGCGACUAAGUCUUUGGCUAACCGUUUAGUUUUGAAACAACGUCUAUUUACGUUUCACAUGAACAAAUGUGAGCUUCUUAGAGAUCACAUCAGUCAAUUCAUUACUCUUUUAAAUGAUUUAAAGAACGUUGAGGUUCAUAUUGAUGAUGAAGAUCAAGCUAUGCUAUUAUUGUGCUCUUUACCCCAUUCAUACAAGUCUUUCAAGGAGACCCUGAUUUAUGGCAGAGACAAAAUCUCGUUCGAAGAUGUGAAGGGUUAUUUGUUGAGUAGAGACAAACUCGAUAAUGAGCUUCAUUUGGAUAGUAAGGUAGAUAGGCAAGCUUCUGUUUUAGUAGCAUCAAGGAAACGAGACAAAAGGUGUCGCUAUUAUAAAAAGUUAGGUCACGUCAAAGCAGAUUGUUAUAAACUGCGAAAUAAAAGAGCUGCUGAGAGUAACGAGAAAGAUGUAGCUGGUGCUAAUUUGGCUGAUGAAAGCGGUGAUGAUUUCUUGUUAGUGUCAACGAGCGAUAAAUCCAAGCUCACGUCCAAGUGGAUCCUAGAUUCGGGAUGUUCUUUCCACAUGUGUCCCAAUAGAAAAUGGUUCUCUACAUACAGUUCGGUUGAAGGUGGAGUUGUGCGCAUGGGAAAUGAUUCAUCUAGUAAGGUAGUUGGUGUUGGAACUGUUAAAAUCAGGACAUACGAUUGGACAAUUAGGACACUCUCAGAUGUUAGGUAUGGACUUGAUUUACGAAAGAAUCUCAUCUCCUUGAGUAUUUUAGACUUGAAAGGAUGCAAAGUCAACAUCGAGUCGAGCGGUAUUAAAGUAACUCGUGGAGCUCUCGUUUUGUUUAAAGGUAAAAGAACUGGCAGUCUUUAUAUUCUGGAAGGUUCUACAGUAACCAGUGAAAUCGGAUGUCCCUCAUCCGUUACAGAGUCGAAGUCAACUUGUUUGGAGCGGAGGCAACUUGGUCAUAGGAGGGAAAAAUUUAUGACCGUUUCGUUGAAGAGAGGUUCUCUUUUGGAUGCAGGUUUUGAAAAGUUAGGGCACUGUAUUCGUGAAAAUCAGACCCAGGUUAGUUUUGAUUUGGCAGUGUACAAGUCGAAGGCUAGAAGUCUUCCAGUUUCUAAGCACAGAUUCGACUCAGUUAAUUCCCUACAUAGUUCAAGAUAGGCUCAUGGCGGGCUUUGGAAAAGAUGGCGUUGUGGAAAUAUGAGUCAAUGAGGAGAUUUCUUAAGUAUGACUCCUAUUUUCAGUCAAAUUUGACAAAAAUUCUUUUAGUUAAACUCUGUUUAUUUGUUUCAGUCAAACACUGAUUAGUUUAGAUUAUUUUAUUAUUAUUUGACAUAUGAAUUUAGCCUAUAAAUAGGCUCUUUUACAACCUUAGUAAAGACACCCAUUAGAUUAGAACGCAUAACACAUUCAGAGAAUUUUGUGUUUACGUUUUGAGGGUUCUUUGUUUUUCGGGUUUUCGGGGUUUAGUUUUAUCUCCAUCUUUUGUACUCUUCAUUCUUUUGCCAUUAUAGUAAAAUUAUCUUUGCCCGUGGUUUUUAUCCUCUUUGGAGGGGUUUUUCCACGUUAAAUUUGUGUGUUCAUCUUCUCAAUUUCUUCCGCUAUUUUUACUUGUUUGUUGCUUAAUCGGGACGAUCCAUAACAUGUAUAAAUUUAGAAGAUAAAAAAUAUAAGAUUUUGAAGAUUUCAAUAUGUUAGUGGAUUCAAGUAUACUUUUGCAUCUACUUUUUUACUCUUGAUGAUCUUACAUGAUAGAUCCGAAUUUAUUUGUUAUAUCAAAUUUUAUGGUUCUAACAUGCUCCCGAUUUACUUAUAUCGAGUUCCCUAAUUAAAUAAAAAUUAAGGAAGGCCUAUUUUUUUUUCUUUUUUAUUUGUUCAUAACACAUUAAAUAAAUUUUAAAAAAACUAUUUAUAUGAAAUAAAUUCUUCAAAAUUUAUGGUUAUUGUACAGACUGAUAUACCAACAAUAUAUUAUAUACAUUAAUUUUUUUCAUUUAUGAUUUUUAUUGAAAACAUAACAUAAGGAGAGGAUACUCCUAUUUUGGAUGCCAAAAUUCCCCACCGAAAAAUGAUUACAGGGUUAGUUUUUCUCUCUCUUUUUAAGUUCAUUAUUGGGAUUAUUUUUUGAAGGAUACAAGUACCCAAUGUCUGAUUACUUAAUCCCGUAAUGAUUGGAUAAAUAGAAUACAAACGAUAUUAGAGUCCAACACCACUUACCACCUAUUAUUGGUCUUGGAUUGAAUGGUGAAUAUUUGUGUUGAUACAGUGUAGAAUAAGGGAGGAGAAUAAGGAGGAGAAAUGGAAGUCAGUUCACUUAAAGAUGUCAAGAGUCAGAAUAGGGACAAGAGGAUAUGUCGAUCAAGAUGUAAUUUUAGGGUGUUGGCCAUCGAUCCUUUCUUCCUUGUUCAUCAGGUUAUUUAUAAGAGAGGUCUCUUUAUCCAAUAGCGUGACGUGGUGGGAUAAGCAUUCAAUCCCACUAAAUGUGCAAAGGAAAAUUAUGAGCCUAUAUCAUGAGACUCAUUCUACUAUGUUUUCAAUCAGUUGAGAGUGUUAUGCCUAAACGGGCUCAUUGUAGCCUUACAAGUGUGUUUCUAAUUCAUUUUAAAUGGGCUUAUUUUAACACUUGAGACUCGAACUUGGUCCCGAUCACCUCCGAACACCUAGAAUUCAUUUUAAAAUGUUUUUGAUUCAUUUUAAAUGAAUUGAAAUUGUUUUUAAUCACUUAGUAUUGAAAUGGGUAACGAAUAAUUGAUGUUCAAAAUUGCAAUUGAAGUGGAAGUCACUUUGAGUUACUUGGACAACAAAUGUUGUACCUUAUAUUUGGAUCCAACAAUCGAGUCAAGUGUGAGCAUAUUUUUACCGAAGAAAAAAACAACUAAUAAACUAGGGACAGAUAUUUAUUCUAAUAAUUAAACCAAGAAAGUAUGCAACUAAGUACGGGCUAGGCAAUCAUCAUUGGGUAGGGACUAAGGGCCCAGAAUUUGAAGUGGAAGUUGAAUGCUCGAAUAUAUUAAUAUCGAAAAUUCUCAUAAUUUCAAGUACAAGAUAUUUUUGAAUACCAAAUUAAUCUUGACGUUUGAAACAAAAUUUGCAUUUAGUAAAGUUAUUAAGUAGUUUUAAAUGAGUUACAAAAAUAUGAGAUCAAAAUAAUACUACUUUGUCUAUACAACAUCAAGACCAGAUGUACUUGCAACAAACUAAAACCUCUGCUUCUAUGCUGCAACAGAGGCUUCAUCAACUUACUUUUACUAUGUUCACAAAAAGCAAUGUAUUGUACAGAUACAACGUGUGCAGAUAAUAUAGAUCACUCCAUUCAUUUUCAUUAAGACACCAAGAUCACACACAAACACAGAAACACAUCUCCAUUCCCUUCUUUGGACCACAUAUAUAUUUUACAUUUACCAGGAAAACAGAAGUAAUUUCUAAAAAUCCAUAAAUACAAUUGCUAGUGUAAAUAAUGACUAAAUUUCCCCUGUAGAGUUGAUUAAAUAGCUAACCAUGAAAUGAAGCAUAGCUGUUGACCAAAGCCAAGGCAUUACUAGUCAAAUGAGCGAUUGUGACAAUCUUGGAUCUCACAGCAGUCUUUACACUGCCGUUCAUGUUUUUCCCUCCAAACCCGUCGGCGCAGGUGUUCUCAUCCGUCAAAGCAGCGCUAACCCAUGUCUGUAUAUCGUUAAUCAUUAGUCCAAAAUUGGAGCCUUUAAGCUGACCCAUCUCGCUGAUUGACUUUCUCAGCUCAUCUAUCGUGUCCUCCAAUUCCUCCACGCAAUCUUGCAUGGCGCCCACCUCUGUAGGCUUCAAUCCUUGGCUUUUGGCAAGCUUCACCAUCAAGGCCGAGGUUGACUUGGCGGUUGAAAGGGUCACGUUUAGGGCGGCAUGGGCGAUGAGUUGGGGGCUUGUUUGGAUCAUGCUAGCCUGUGUUAAGAGAGAUUCGUAACAAAGUUUAGGGUAAGUCGUUGAACUACAAGAUGUUCUGAUAAACUCAAUGCUAGUUUUAGGGGCAAUUUGCCUACCA